rnacentral:lncRNA from 9 species
GAGGUGUAUGAGUUUUCUUUAUGUGUGCUUUGGAGAGGAACCUCACGGGCAGGGGUACCCGUCUCCUCAGUGUUUCUGUAGAGCUGCUGUCCACAGCGUGGCAGCCGCUGUCCAGAGGGAGCCAUUUAUGCUUCAUUGAAUUCAGCCAGUAGUUAGGUCUGCCUCUGGCAGUGAACAGAAGAAAGCAGCCAAGGGUUCACUCCCCCGAGCCAGCACGCAAGGGUGUCCGUGCAGCUGGACUUUCAGGUGUGUCACGCUGGGGCUGAGGCCUCCGGAGGACUCCUAGAAGGGAGGCGUGCGUGUAAAGCGCCAUCCCUCAGCAGCCCACGACCUCGGACGGUUUGCCACUGUGGCCAGUGUUUUAUUGAUGCUUCUGAGGCCAUAGAGCACGCACGGGGAAGUUCUGAGCACACGGAGGACAAGCCAGGGCGGUGCUGUGUGGCCGCAGUCAACCCUAAGUAGGGUCCGAGUGGGGGACGGUCGCUAACACCUCGAUUCCUCAUGUCUGUGUUUCUGCAGCUUGGAGCUUGGAGAGUGUGUGUGAGAGCGACCUCGCUGACAGCAACCUCGCAGAAAGUGAUCGAGACUCGGUGGCGGAGCGCACCGACUGCCGCCAGGAUGAGGAGGCUGCAGGAACUCACGACGACGAUGUUGUGGAGGCCGGUGGGAGUGAGAAGACCGAGGCAAAGCCCCGGGCUGGGGGACAUGAGGACGAGGCGGCCCCAGUACCUGAGGUGGAGGGGAGGAGGAGGCGGGCCAGCCCCGUGAAAAUGGCCAGGAGGAGUCCUAGCCAUCGCCUGGGCUGAGCCGGAAGACGAGCCUGGCCCCAAGGUAAGCUCACCUUUCUUGAUGUGAGGUUGGAAAAGGUGCCUCCUUUCUUCUUGAUGUACCUCCUUCAGAAAUGGAAAUCUGAGAAAGUCCACUGUAGAUGAUAUAUGCAGAUUGCUGUGCGGAGGACUGUUGAGUCCAAGUUUGGUACCAAGCAGUAGCUCCUUCCCCGGGGCAUUUGCAAAAGGGACCGCAUCAGUUCCCAAGUGUGCAGUAGGGAGCAUAUGUCUUUGAAGAAGCCGGAAUGUUGUUUGUCUGUUUGUCUUUUUUGCCUUUUCUAGGCCCCUCCCGCGGCAUAUGGAGAUGAGGUUCCCAGGCUAGGGGUCUGAUCGGAGCUGUAGCCACCGGCCUACGCCAGAGCCACAGCAACGUGGGAUCCGAGCCUCGUCUGCCACCUACACCACAGCUCAGGGCAGCGCCGGAUACUUCACCCACUGAGCAAGGCCAGGGAUCGAACCCGCAACCUCAUGGUUCUUGGUCGAUUCGUUAACCACUGUGCCCCGAUGGAAGUCCAAAGAAGCCUGAAAGUUUGUUAAAAUGUACGAGGACUUGGGAGAUCUUCCAUGAAAAGCUGGCGCCUUUUCCAAAGGGGUCUUCGCCGUGUUCUUUGGGGAAACGGACUCAACGCUGCCUCUGUCUGCGUGCCUGCGGUCCCCAACGGCAGGAAGACCUGUGGCCGCAGUGCAGAGGAUGCUGUGACACUCACCGUGUUUCUCUGUCUCAUCACAGGUGGACGGGGCGGACGAUGAAAUCUGUGAGUAUUCUGGAGCCCGGCUGUGCUGAGGAGAAGUCCAGGUGUUGAGGAAAUGGGGG